GCCUUUCCUCCUCUCUCUAAUCUUGUCUCUACGCGGCCAGCACACGGCUCGAGGAGGCGGCAGCGGCGGUCGGCACACGGCUCGAGGAGGCGGCAGCGGCGGAGCGGUGGGUUCACCAGGAGCAUACUCCUAGCUCGGCACAAGGUCAGCUCCGCUCAUUUAUUCGUCGAGGUUUCAAACCUCGACGUUAAAUCUUAGCUCUUCGAGAAAAGCCUCGCCGUCAGGCGUUAGUUCGCCGAGGAAAGCCUCGCCGUCAGGCGUUAGUUCGUCGAGUAAAAACUCGACGUUGGGCGUUAGUUCGCCGUGGCAUUCUAGCUUCGUUAGUAGGCAGAGGCUUAAGCUGAUCUAGAGAAUAAAGGAUCUUAUUCUAGCUGAUGUAGAAAAAACCCAGAGGUUCAACGGUAGCCAGAAGGUCCGACUUGGGUCCCGGCCGGGACCCGGUACCGCCGCUCACGCUGCCGGAUCCCGGGUCGUGCUCGUCCCCGGGUAUGGGAUACGCACGUAUGUUAUGUGUCAUAUAAGUAUCUUUCUUUUUAACAUGCGUCCUGUUUGUCGGGUCGGGUACUUCUUCGCUCGUCGUUGCGUGCUUGCUUCGGUUGUUAGGGCAGGCGAGGGUCAGGGUCUUUGUGCGGCGGUCGGCGGUUGAGUAGCAGAGGGAGAGCAAGAGUAGGAGAAGGGGUUUAGGUUAACUAACGGGGCUCAAGGAUACUCCGGUCUUGGGGUUGAGGGGUUCGAUUAGUUACUUAACAGGUAAUCAUAGUGUGAAGUCACAUAAAGAAACGUAGGAUGUUUAUGGGGUUCCCGGGGCCGCUUGCCUAGGUCUCUCCGCUCGGCCGGUCGCUGCUGUGUGGGACACGGGACCGUCCUUGUGCCUCUCAUCGUCGGCCGUCUACCGGUAGCUAUCAACCCCGACACCAGGCGGACAGGCCGUCACCUCUCGCCUCUGCACCUCAGGUCACACCUCGUCGCAACCUAAAGAAGAUAAACGAGGUUCUCUGGUUCUUGUCCUAAGCACUUCUGUUCUUAAGUCCACAAGAGAGAGGAAAAUUGACAAGGAAAAAGUUUUGAAUUUAGUGAUUUCUUGAUAAACUCUAGUUGGUACAGUCUCCUCUCUAACUUACCGAAACGGUACCACGAAAUAACUCUUUCUAUACAGCCUAUUGUAACUAGAACUGUGAUAAUAAUCACUAAAAGGUAGGUCUUUACGAGCUUCCACAGCAAAAAGAACUCAUACGGUAAGUGAAGUAAAAACACAUAAACAGUCCACCGAGUACUAUAAACGACUACGUGCAAACACCAACCUGACCAUCUCAACCUUAACAUCGAAGACAGCUUAACCUAGUUCUUAAACUCUUGUUAUAGUGUAUAUAUAAAUCAAUUCUUAAUUCUGUUGUGAAGAUCCAACAACCUCGCACAUAGGAUUAUUAGGAUAUUAGUAGACUAUAUAGGCACCUUGCCUCCCUCAUAUAUAGACGGGUCCUGCGGGGCCGUCAGUAGUCUAGAGCUUCGUCUUGGCGUUGGGUACUCGGUAGUCGACGUUCAAGAAGAGCCCGGAGCCGUCUGGAUGUGCCCUCGGUACCUCUUUCUGUCGCCUCUACUAUCUUAGUCGUGGAACGGGUCACUGUAACACCAGUUGUAAGAACUGGCUGAGCUAAAGGCACUUCAACGCUCUUGGUCGUAGGAGAGGUCUGCCACCACGGUCGAGAGAACGUUCCAGAGGGCUGAAUAGUAUUUACGAGUCGGACUACCGCACAGAUGGAGGUUGUAGAGACUACCACUGAACCAAGCCUAGUUACGUCGACGAGAACUUCGCUGUUUCUCGAAUGACCGGGCGUCUACAGGUCCGCUUCUGUGGUAGGCGGAGGACAGAUGGUGCAAGAUGAACUCUCCACUACAGGGGUAUAGGUAACCUGUAUGACAACCGUCACGGUACUGCUGUGUGUUCUAACUCUUUCGACUUAAGUGUCAAAACUGUCACUUCUUUGCGGCUGUCACGUGAGAACUACUACACAACUUGAUACCCUGUGUCAAACACAGUAAAAAAUUACUCACAGACUUACGUAAAUGACCAAACUGCGCGGAGAUGUACCUCUUAAACUCUAAACAACUUAGACUGAAACAGAGGUUGUAGAAGCAGUGAACGUUCGCUAAUUUUAUAAACCCAAAAAAGUUAACGCUGUGUGUCUUAGUAAAUUGUGAGGUCCAACUUGUGCGAGUUGAGUCACUCGAGUCAUACCAGUUGACGGCAAAAAUGUUUCAGUUUGAGUUCACCGAGGGUUUUGAGUGGGCCUGUUGCAAGUGUAUAACCUACCGAAAACUUCUUGAUGGUAACAGUAAACCAGUACACGGUGACGAACUGAAAAACUUGGAGUGAUUACAACCAGAAUCAGCCGUGUUUUACCAGCACAACUCAUGUAAUGAAACACUCUGUGUGUAGGUUCUUGACGUAAACCCCAAAUUUACGCUUUUCUAAACCCAAGUUGGUCUCACAGACUCGCUUUCCGACCGUAGACGCAAGGUGUCUGAUUCCUAACAGUCAGAUCAAUCGUAAGGACUUCCCAGACUAGAGUGGACCUGUUAAAAGUAAGACCUUCGACGCGGUAGUGAACUUCUCAACAUGUACAACCAUUAACUAGUAGGCACACUUUACUAUUACCUAUUCUUUUCCUCCUACCUUGAGAGCGAAUCGCUCUACUUCCCGCAGUUCACCCUUAGUGGAUCUAGUUUAAAGUUCGUGGCUGUGGAACGGUUCGAGUAGUAGAAAACGAAACAUUUAACGUACCACUCAGUACAGUCCGCACAGUACUUUCGUCGCCACUUAGACUUCCUACACAUGGACAUACUAUCUGACCGUACAUCGUUCACGUUUGUGUACCGGUAAAAAUUCGGACUAUCCGAAGGUGCCCGUUUCUUCUUCAACCUACGCUACUUCUUCGACAACUGGGUCCCGUAGCUCAGACGAGGGUCUUAAGUGAACGACUGGCUAACACUUUACCUCCGACUGGUACGACGUUCCCAAUGUCCGAUGAACACAAGGACUUCUAUCGACUUCCGAAAGUCCUUCAAGUACAUUAUUGUCAGCCAACCUCAUGAGAUAGUGAACAGACCGAGAACAAAAUAGAGGAAAAGAAAUGAGUUGGACAACCUUCAUCGUUUUAUUCUUAAUGAACUAGGACAAAAUGGUAUUCAUUAAAAUCCUGGACCAGACAUAAACCUAAAACUACGAUACUACACAAUAAUACCACUACUCACGUAGUCAACUAUGCCAAGGUACUCUAGACCUUCGACU
rnacentral:rRNA from 1 species